UCCAAAGAUUUCCACUCUGCUUGUCUC
rnacentral:sRNA from 1 species